GGAAGAUGAUGAUUCUUAUGAUGAUGAUGAUGAUGAUGAUGAUGAUGAUGACGGAAUAAUGCAAUGGCUAGCGGCGACCGGCCAUGACAUAAAUGCGUCUUUUGAAAACGGUCCUGUUGACCUUCCACCAAUUAUUAAACUAGUUUUUCUGGACGAAGAAGUCGAUUUAAAAUUGGAUCCUGAUUUGGAAACAAUUUUAACCGAUGAUGAACGUGAUAUAGACGAACCAGAGGCUAAACGACUUCGUCUUCUGGAUGAUCUUGCCACCAAUAAAGUCUACAAAGAGGAAUGUGCUAUCUGCCUUUUUCCCGCCGAGCUUCCCGUCCGAAUGCCAUGCAGCCACGAAUUUUGUUUCACCUGCGCAAAAGGCCUGAUUAAGGGGAAAAAAAAGCAAUGCGCUUUGUGCAGGAAACCAAUUCCUCCAAAUUUCAUCACGAAUCCAGAAACGUUCGCCACUGGAGCCGUUGAAGCGCCAAUGAGCAAGUACUCUUGGUUCUACAAAAGUCGAUCUGGCUGGUGGGCAUACGCGCCAAGGAUGCAGACUGAUAUAGAGAACGCGUUUCAAAGUGGACAAUCAACAUUUGAAUGCAUUCUCAACGGCCAGAAGUACAUUUUGAAUUUUGGAAAAUCCAUUCAGAAAUUCGGAAUGCAUAAGCGGAAGAAACAACAUAUCAAGAGAGGCUUGAGCAAGAGCAGUCAUUUAGGAGUGGCUGGUCUCAGAUACACUGUGCCUUCGUA